AACAAAGUUCUGGGCAAAUUCCAUUAACGUAUCUCUGAAUAUAUCAGUGUAGUGGCACAAUUAGGGAAACAUUUUGAUCUGAAUGACCACACUUGAUUUUCCAACAAUCUUACAAGAUAGUCAAGGCAAGUAUUUGUGCCAUUUCAUACAUGAAGAAGCUGAGAAUCUCAGCCAUUAGGUCAUCACCAGGCAACAUGGAACAGGACCGCUAGAGGUCUCACAGCAACUCUAGCACUGUCCCUCUGCCCCUGCCAUCUGUCCGUAGUUGUGAAUGAGCAUUUAGAGUCAUUUCCUACGUACAAUAUCACUUUGCCCUGAAGCACAGUAGUAUCAGCUAGACAACAUCACACUUAAGAUCCUUCUAAUCUUAUGAUUUAAUGUGACGGUUUUCCAUUAUGGGAUUCAGUACUUUCAAAAGGCCUGUAUAUCCAGCCCUACACGAGCGUCUUUUCUGGACCUGCCCCGACCUCUGCACUUUUUCCUGUCUCUUCAUCAAAACAUCUAGCCAACAAAUUGUCCAUAGGAUUCCAUGGCCACCGAACCAAAGGGUACAAGAGCUGACUUCGUCCAGACCCCGACCUUCCGUGAGAGGAUAGAUAUUUUGGUUCUCAUCUUACACAGGAGCUGACUGUAGUCCGCAGAGGCUAAUCCAUUCAGAGGAGGAGGAGAGAUUAAAGAUUUAAUGGAAGAAGAGAAGCCAUGGGUGACGGGAUAAAUCGUUCCUGGUAAUCAGACAGCUAAAAAGUGUUGCAAGGGGAUCCGGUUUCAGGUCCUCUGCUUCCAAACCUCGAGCUCAUUUUACUACAUGUUAAUAGAUUUCUCUGCUCUUUAGAUCUUCAGUUUUUUUUUUUAAUUUUUAUUUAUUUAAGAGAGAGAGAGAGAGAGAGAGAGGCAGAGACACAGCAGAGGGAGAAGCAGGCUNAAUUUUUAUUUAUUUAAGAUAGAUAGAUAGAGAGAGAGAGAGAGAGAGAGGCAGAGACGUAGGCAGAGGGAGA
rnacentral:lncRNA from 1 species